rnacentral:rRNA from 1 species
ACGCCAGACUCCUACGGGAGGCAGCAGUGGGGAAUAUUGCACAAUGGGGGAAACCCUGAUGCAGCAACGCCGCGUGAGUGAAGAAGUAUUUCGGUAUGUAAAGCUCUAUCAGCAGGGAAGAAGAUGACGGUACCUGAGUAAGAAGCCCCGGCUAACUACGUGCCAGCAGCCGCGGUAAUACGUAGGGGGCAAGCGUUAUCCGGAUUUACUGGGUGUAAAGGGAGCGUAGACGGUGAGACAAGUCUGAAGUGAAAGCCCGGGGCUCAACCCCGGGACUGCUUUGGAAACUGCCUGACUGGAGUGCUGGAGAGGCAAGCGGAAUUCCGUGUGUAGCGGUGAAAUGCGUAGAUAUACGGAGGAACACCAGUGGCGAAGGCGGCCUGCUGAACAUUAACUGACGCUGAGGCGCGAAAGCGUGGGGAGCAAACAGGAUUAGAUACCCGUGUACC